UGAGUGAGCAGGACGAAGAGCCAGUCCUGCAGGUCCUCCCUGUGGACCGUGAUGAAGUCCACCAGAGUCUCCAGGAACAUGCUGAACACCUGAGGACAGUUCACACCAUGAUUAAGACACACUGCUUCAUUUAUCUUCACAAGGCAGACCAUGCAACAAGAGACGCUAUUAGUUUCAAGACAACUUCAUUUCACAUAACAUGCUUUUGAACUCAUCAAUCGUUGUGGUGCUUCAGUUAAUGCGGGUCAUCUUCGUUACCUUGCUGUGUGGAUCUGCAAACAUCCUGGUGAAGAUCUCACAGAGUCUCUUCAGCUCCACUCGGCUGCAGGGAAACAAGGAAAACAGGAAGUCCCAUUAAAGGAAACUGGCAGACGAGUGACUUCGGCUCUCUAUCACACAACAACAGAGGACUAACACUCGUUUCCACUCGUCCUGACCUCAGUAUUCUUUGGCUCUUGAGGAGGUUCUGCAGGCCCAGCAGUCCCUCCU